AUGAGAGGUCUCAUGUUCUACUACGGGCUAGAUUUUCAUGAUCUAGCUCCGGAUUCCAUCCUCCACAUCUUGUCGUUUAUCGUCGUGUGUGAAGCCUUCCUCCACAUCACCCCACACUUCGGCCUAUGGCUCAAGACCUUCAAUGUGAAGCCGAAGAUGGUUGAGGGACAACACACGGAGUGCGGAGGCGCCGCAAUAAGCAGAAAUGCCGAUGUUCCAUGGCCAGAAGGUGCCUUCUCGGAGGUGUCGGAUCUGUGGCAACGGAGGUGGUUCUACAUCACAGCUCCCCGAGGCACAACGUGCGCGGCUGCCCCUGCCUUCCGUUCGGGUCCUCCGCCUCAACUGGCGUCGUGGACCAAUGUGGGACUUGAUUGGGGGCCUGCUAAUGACGUACCGAUAUUGCAGGGCCGUAUUUGGGAGCUUCUUGAGAGGGAUAUCGAUCUUGUCAGAAUCAUUCAGGUAAUGCUGGUUCGGCGGAUCCUGCCAUGCAAGCGUCGGCCUCUCCGGAUGUGGGAGUUCAAUCCAGAAGGUCCGCGAUCCAUUCAACACUUCUUCGGCAUGACGCUCGAAGGGAUGUACAAGUUAUUCUUCGGACCACAAGUGAGGUGUCUGGACACCAUCGAGGAUGCGGGCCUGAGCUGCCACCGCCCAGAUACCCAAGAUUGGCUCAGCAAGGCAGAGAGAAUCAGGUGUCCGGCCCAACUUCCUGAAGGCUCGCCUAGUCCUGCAAUAGCCAGGAUGCUUAAGCGCGCAUUGAGCCAAGUGCCCUCGGGGAAAGGGGAAGAGAAGAAGAGAGGAGCCGAACUCCACACGUUGCACAUCCAAAACGGGGAAUUACUAUCUCCGUGA
rnacentral:rRNA from 1 species